rnacentral:lncRNA from 1 species
GGCUCAUAAUAAUAUACCAAAUAAUAUUUUCUGAAUAUAUGAAUGAACUUGUUUACAUAUCUAUCUGUGGUAUAGCUUCCCAAGAAUAAUUUUAGUUAGCUCACUACAGAACUAAUACCAUUACACUCCAUUAAUAUCUUACCACCCCUCAUAAAUAUGGGAAACUUAUACUACUUGCAAUUGCCACUUUCUUAAUUCUACAAAGAAAUUAACUUUUGCUCUUCUACAUCCACUAUGGAAGACUCACCAUGCUUUUCUGAUGCCUUUAUGUGGCUGAUUAGAUGGACAUCUGAAGUAGUGAGACGGACAUGAGACCACCACCAUUGCCACCACAUCUAAGCUGCUAUACACACACACAAACACACACACACACACAAACACACACACACACACACACACAGACACACGAGGAUGCUUUCCUAGGGAAUAAUCCUAUGCUAAUACAGUGUUAAGAUUGCAAAUUUUAACCUUCAUAACUCAAGAAAGUGAAAAGUUAAGUGGUCAUUAACCCUGUCUAUAUCAAAGAUUUCUUUUAAAAUCCGAAGGAAGCAAUAGUUUUCCCAAAUACAUACAUAUAUAUUUUUCC